UAGGGAAUCUUCGGCAAUGUACGAAAGUCUGACCGAGCAACGCCGCGUGAGUGAAGAAGGUUUUCGGAUCGUAAAACUCUGUUGUUAGAGAAGAACAAGGGUGAGAGUAACUGUUCACCCCUUGACGGUAUCUAACCAGAAAGCCACGGCUAACUACGUGCCAG
rnacentral:rRNA from 1 species